CUUGAGUGGGCGGCGCAGAUCGCUUUGUUCUCGCGGACGACGACAUUGUUCGAUCAAACAUGAUCGGCACCAAGAAGAUCCUUGUUGGACUUCUCGUCCUGGCAAUGAUCCUUGCCAUUGCCAUGGCACAGUUCGAAAAUGUUGAGGAACGUCGGCUUGGUGAUCAACGUGGUUUGGGCCGUGACCGAGGCUACCGCGGCUCACGCGGACGUGGUGACGACCGUAGAUUUCACGAUGGACGUGAUCGUGACCAUACAUUCGGUCGCGACCGUGGCUCUGGACGUAACCGUGGCCGAGACCAUGGCAGGGGAGGUGGACGAGAUUUUGGCAGAUUUUGAUUAUUGCUUCCUCUGCUCUACCCGAUGUUUCUGCACAGAAAAACGGAGGCAUGUGUAAUAUGUUUUAAAUGAACGAAAGAUGAAAUGCGCGGCCGGCUGCACCAAGUAAUGACAGACGGCAUAAUUAAGACACAACCGAGCAAAGCGGAGGUUAGCGAACAUUUCAAGAGGUAAAUUUGCCACCAGCAAUGACCGCUUGUCCAACACCUGGGACUCAUGAAAAGAAAUCUGGUUACGAUGAACACAGUGCUUCUGAAAUAAGUACGCAUAGAUGUGAUAAACCGUGUUAUGUCCGUACAGAACUGCGAUUCUUAGUACAGAAAGAGUCGCGUAUCUCUCAGGAACAGAGCUUGUAAAGCGUGUUUCAAAUAAAUAUCGUCAUCUUUCACUGA
rnacentral:lncRNA from 1 species